GGGCGUAAAGCGUCUGUAGGUGGCUCGACAAGUCAACUGUUAAAUCUUGAAGCUCAACUCCAAAAUCGCAGUCGAAACUAUCGAACUCGAGUAUAGUAGAGGUAAAGGGAAUUUCCAGUGGAGCGGUGAAAUGCGUAGAGAUUGGAAAGAACACCGAUGGCGAAGGCACUUUACUGGGCUAUUACUGACACUCAGAGACGAAAGCUAGGGUAGCAAAUGGGAUUAGAUACCCCAGUAGUCCUAGCUGUAAACAAUGGAUACUAGGUGUUGAACAGAUCGACCUGUGCAGUACCAAAGCUAACGCGUUAAGUAUCCCGCCUGGGAAGUAUGCACGCAAGUGUGAAACUCAAAGGAAUUGACGGGGGCCCGCACAAGCGGUGGAGCAUGUGGUUUAAUUCGAUGCAACGCGAAGAACCUUACCAGGGUUUGACAUGAUACGAAUUUCUUUGAAAGAAGAAAGUGCCUUUUGGAACGUAUACACAGGUGGUGCAUGGCUGUCGUCAGCUCGUGUCGUGAGAUGUUGGGUUAAGUCCCGCAACGAGCGCAACCCUUAUUUUUAGUUGCCUUUUGGAACUCUAAAAAGACUGCCGGUCAUAAACCGGAGGAAGGCGGGGAUGACGUCAAGUCAGCAUGCCCCUUACACCCUGGGCUACACACGUGCUACAAUGGACGAGACAAUGAGCUGCAAAUCUGCGAAGACUAGCUAAUCUAUAAACUCGUUCUAAGUUCGGAUUGUAGGCUGCAACUCGCCUGCAUGAAGUUGGAAUCGCUAGU
rnacentral:rRNA from 1 species